CACAACCGGAGUCAAUGUUACCUUUAGUAGGGAAGUGAGUGGGUAUCGAUGGCAGGCCCACUUCGUUGCCGAAACGGGAUGACGAUGGCUUGAGAAACUGGCGCAAGUCGUGGAGAGUUGUUGCGGAUCGUUCGCAUUCAUGGCGGCUAGCAACAUGACCGGUUUGCGUGAUCUCGGUGUCAUGAUCGAUUCCUGCAAAAGUCGUUAAAUUAUUAUUGAAAACAAGUCCUUUCAAUUAUUAUACAUUUUUCAUUAAACCCGCUUUCCUCAUAGUUACAAAUUAUAGUUUAAAAUUAGCUUGAAAUUGAUUAGAUGUUUGGUUAAUAUAUUAUAUUUCCUUUAAAAGCUGAAGCAAAAUAUAUAAGCCAUCACCGUAUAUCAAGCACACAUAAAGCGAUAAAGCGUUUGCAAGUUAAAUAAAAUUAUUAAAAAAAAAAAGA